GCCGAGAUGGCCGAGCGGUCCAAGGCGCACGUUUUACACACCAGUCCCUUCGGGGGCGUGGGUUCGAAUCCUUCUCUCGUCA
rfam:Angiostrongylus costaricensis strain Costa Rica genome assembly, scaffold: ACOC_contig0003258